rnacentral:tRNA from 1 species
UCCCUGGUGGCUCAGUGAUAAAGAAUCUGCCUGCAAUGCAGGAGACCCAGGUUUGAUCCCUGGGUUGGGUA